UCCGGGAUAGUUCAGCGGUAGAACGCCUCCCUGUUAAGGAGGAUGUCGCAGGUUCGAUCCCUGCUCCCGGAG
rnacentral:tRNA from 1 species